CCUACGGGUGGCAGCAGUGAGGAAUAUUGGUCAAUGGUCGGGAGACUGAACCAGCCAAGCCGCGUGAGGGAUGAAGGUACAGAGUAUCGUAAACCUCUUUUGUCAGGGAACAAAGGCGGGGACGUGUCCCCGGAUGAGUGUACCUGAAGAAAAAGCAUCGGCUAACUCCGUGCCAGCAGCCGCGGUAAUAUGGAGGAUGCGAGCGUUAUCCGGAUUUAUUGGGUUUAAGGGGGGCGCAGGCGGUCUGUUAAGUCAGCGGUAAAAGCCCGGGGCUCAACCCCGGCCCGCCGUUGAAACUGGCAGUCUCGAGUUGGAGAGAAGUAUGCGGAAUGAGCGGUGUAGCGGUGAAAUGCAUAGAUAUCGCGCAGAACUCCGAUUGCGAAGGCAGCAUGCCGGCUCCACACUGACGCUGAGGCACGAAAGCGUGGGUAUCGAACAGGAUUAGAUACCCUUGUAGUC
rnacentral:rRNA from 1 species